GCCGGGCGUGGUGGCGCGCGCCUGUAGUCCCAGCUACUCGGGAGGCUGAGGUGGGAGGAUCGCUUGAGUCCAGGAGUUCUGGGCUGCAGUGUGCUAUGCCAAUCGGGUGUCCGCACUAAGUUCGGCAUCAAUAUGGUGACCUCCCGGGAGCGGGGGACCACCAGGUUGCCUAAGGAGGGGUGAACCGGCCCAGGUCGGAAACGGAGCAGGUCAAAUCUUUGAAACAUUGCCUUUGUUGCUCAAAGGCUGGGAAGGUCUCUGUCUCAAAUGGUGGGUACAGGUGCAGUAGUGAAUCCUGGGUCAGUACCAAGUU
ensembl:misc_RNA Metazoa_SRP Metazoan signal recognition particle RNA